rnacentral:sRNA from 2 species
GGUGACUACGUGGGUCUGGAGCUGACUGCCGUCCUGACACGUCCUAGAGCUGCAAGCAGGUUCUGCUGGGACAGGCUGCUUCUGCAGGAGGUGGCCUCGA